rnacentral:ribozyme from 1 species
GAGAGAGAGAGAGAGAGAGUAUAAUGAGAGAAAGAGAAGAAAUAGAAAGCUUUUUUCUCCCUUCUCUACAGUCUCUCCUUCUUUCUCUCCCUCUCUCUCUCCUUCUCUUUCUCC